CGAUAAUCUUGUGAUGUAUGUUCAAAAUCUUGUGAUGUAUAUUCGGAAUCUUGUGAUGUUUAUGCAAAAAAUUACAAUGUGGGUAAUAUUCGACACAAUUUCAAUAGGCUUUGUAAAGGCUCUUUUAAUGGUUUCCAAAGUGAAAGUAGGUUCCUUUUGUCAACAGCCGCAUCUAGAACGCUGUGAACGUGGAGGCUGGAUAAAGGAGAUUCUGGGGACUGUAACUCUGUUUUACACUAAUACAGCCGAUAGUCGAAACAUUUGCGCAAAUCUGAGAAUCCUGUUACCAACAACUCAGGUGUAUAAUUAUACAGUAUCUGCUUUUACAUGCGAAUGCCCAUUGGUUAACUUCAUAUGACAUAAUGUUACAACACCUCAACACCUCUGUUGUAUGGAUAUAAAUGUAUGCUGUCUUUCUAAAACAGAUGUAAAGUGUGAGUGGCGUAAAAAUACGAAGUCAGCAAUAAAGAAGAAGACAAAAACCAUGCAUGGAUACAUGAGUUAUGUCCAACAA